UACGUAGGGGGCAAGCGUUGUCCGGAUUUAUUGGGCGUAAAGAGCUCGUAGGCGGUUUGGUAAGUCAGGUGUGAAAUCUCCACGCUCAACGUGGAGGGGCCACCUGAUACUGCCAUGACUGGAGUCCGGUAGAGGAGUGUGGAAUUCCCGGUGUAGCGGUGAAAUGCGCAGAUAUCAAGAGGAACACCGGUGGCGAAGGCGGGUCUCUGGGCCGAUACUGACGCUGAGGAGCGAAAGCGUGGGGAGCAAACAGG
rnacentral:rRNA from 1 species